rnacentral:rRNA from 1 species
CCCUUAGAUGUUCGGGGCCGCACGCGCGCUACACUGAAGGACUCAGCGUGUCUCUCCCCCUAUCCCGAAAGGGAUGGGCAACCCGUUGAACCUCCUUCGUGCUAGGGAUUGGGGUUUGCAAUUAUCCCCCAUGAACGAGGAAUUCCCAGUAAGCGCGAGUCAUCAGCUCGCGUUGAUUACGUCCCUGCCCUUUGUACACACCGCCCGUCGCUACUACCGAUUGGAUGGUUUAGUGAGACCCUCGGAUCGGUCCCGACUCGGGGUGGGCUUCUGCCCCGGUCGUGGUUUCGCCGAGAAGACGGUCAAACUUGACUAUCUAGAGGAAGGAAAAGUCGUAACA